GGUUCUCCAAGCUGGGGUGGCUCUGUGGUAUUGCCUGCUGGGGGACUGUGGUCUCUUCUCCUGAAUUUCUCCUCUGUGCUUCCUUCGUCUAUGAAAGAAACAGUGACAACAGAGGAAGUAAGGGAAAGCAGUCUACCAGAAAUCAUGAGGAGCGCUGCUUCCCGGUCUGCCAGCCUGCCCUGCUUUGUAUCAUCUCCAAAUCAUCACACUGUACAUGAGGAGCGUGGCAAUGCUGGAUAAAACCGGUCCAAGAGUGCUUUUUAUGUUCCCGUGAAGAUCUGUCUCUCCCAGGACUCCUGGUUGCGGAUGUAGAGACCGUGUUACAGAAAAGUCAGUCUCUCUGAAAUGCAAGAGAGAGAGGACUUAGGAAGCCAAGGGAGCCACUUUCUGCUCUCUGAGCAUCUUGCGAGGAAGCUGCACGUGAGCAGAGCAGUGCUGCGAUGAAGGAACAUGCAUGCAGGCAGCUAUCAUAUCUCCAAAUCAGAUGGCCGCGUACGAUUUAUCUGAAGGAUGCUCACCCAUCACCCAGACCCAGACGUCGUUGUCAGCACCGAGCUUCCAUGUCACCGACUUCCCGUUGGCUGGAAAAGAAGCAGUUCUUUGGCAAAUGCUGUUUGCUUGGCAGAUCCAUGCAGGGCCUGUGUCCCACUUGCUGUGCCCUCCUGGCUGCUGCCGGUGGCAGAGCCUUUCCAAAAGCAGCCGGAAAGUUUGGCUGGGACGCAGUGCACAACUCCCAUUUUGUUCCACAGUAGUGAAGCCAGGGAGCUGUUGACUUGGCCAGAGGGGGAAGCAGCCGGCAGGCAGAGACUUACCUUUUCUCGUCAGUGGCUUCUUCGCUGAAGUCUUGUCCGCAGCAGCUUCUCUUUCCUCCCACCGUCUGAUCUGUUCCUGCCUCAUCUUGAAGAAAAGGAUCUGCUUCUGCUCCUCACUGAGUUCUGCCAGCAGGUCAGGAUCGAUGUACAUG